GAUGAACGCUAGCGGCAGGCCUAACACAUGCAAGUCGAGGGGCAGCACGAAUUUAGCUUGCUAAGUUUGGUGGCGACCGGCGCACGGGUGCGUAACGCGUAUAGAACCUACCUUUUACAGAGGGAUAGUCCGAAGAAAUUUGGCAUAAUACCUCAUAGUAUUAUUGAUUGGCAUCGAUUAAUAAUUAAAGCUCCGGCGGUAAAAGAUGGCUAUGCGUCCUAUUAGCUAGUUGGUACGGUAACGGCGUACCAAGGCAACGAUAGGUAGGGGUUCUGAGAGGGAUAUCCCCCACACUGGUACUGAGACACGGACCAGACUCCUACGGGAGGCAGCAGUGAGGAAUAUUGGACAAUGGUGGGAACACUGAUCCAGCCAUGCCGCGUGCAGGAAGACGGCCUUAUGGGUUGUAAACUGCUUUUAUAUAGGAAGAAACCUAUCCUCGUGAGGGUAGCUGACGGUACUAUAUGAAUAAGCACCGGCUAACUCCGUGCCAGCAGCCGCGGUAAUACGGAGGGUGCGAGCGUUAUCCGGAAUCAUUGGGUUUAAAGGGUCCGUAGGCGGGUUAAUAAGUCAGGGGUGAAAUCUCACAGCUCAACUGUGAAACUGCCUUUGAUACUGUUAGCCUUGAAUGAUAUGGAAGUAGAUAGAAUGUGUAGUGUAGCGGUGAAAUGCAUAGAUAUUACACAGAAUACCGAUUGCGAAGGCAGUCUACUACGUAUUGAUUGACGCUAAUGGACGAAAGCGUGGGGAGCGAACAGG
rnacentral:rRNA from 1 species